rnacentral:rRNA from 1 species
CCGCUUUUGGAUGGGCCCGCGGCGGAUUAGCUAGUUGGUGGGGUAAAGGCUUACCAAGGCAAUGAUGCGUAGCCGAACUGAGAGGUUGAUCGGCCACAUUGGGACUGAGACACGGCCCAAACUCCUACGGGAGGCAGCAGUAGGGAAUCUUCCACAAUGGGCGAAAGCCUGAUGGAGCAACGCCGCGUGGGUGAAGAAGGUCUUCGGAUCGUAAAACCCUGUUGUUAGAGAAGAAAGUGCGUGAGAGUAACUGUUCACGUUUCGACGGUAUCUAACCAGAAAGCCACGGCUAACUACGUGCCAGCAGCCGCGGUAAUACGUAGGUGGCAAGCGUUAUCCGGAUUUAUUGGGCGUAAAGGGAACGCAGGCGGUCUUUUAAGUCUGAUGUGAAAGCCUUCGGCUUAACCGGAGUAGUGCAUUGGAAACUGGGAGACUUGAGUGCAGAAGAGGAGAGUGGAACUCCAUGUGUAGCGGUGAAAUGCGUAGAUAUAUGGAAGAACACCAGUGGCGAAAGCGGCUCUCUGGUCUGUAACUGACGCUGAGGUUCGAAAGCGUGGGUAGCAAACAGGAUUAGAUACCCUGGUAGUCCACGCCGUAAACG